rnacentral:rRNA from 1 species
AUUGAACGCUGGCGGCAGGCCUAACACAUGCAAGUCGAGCGGAGAGGCGGACGGGUGAGUAAUGCCUAGGAAUCUGCAUGGGAGUGGGGGAUAAAGUCAGGAAACGGGCGAUAAUAAAGCAUACUAUCAGAGGAGACUAGGUCGGAUUAGCUAGUUGGGGGGGUAAAGGCCUACAAAGGCGACGAUCCGUAACUGGUCUGAGAGGAUGAUCAGUCACACUGGAACUGAGACACGGUCCAGACUCCUACGGGAGGCAGCAGUGGGGAAUAUUGGACAAUGGGCGAAAGCCUGAUCCAGCCAUGCCGCGUGUGUGAAGAAGGUCUUCGGAUUGUAAAGCACUUUAAGUUGGGAGGCGUUACCAACAGAAUAAGCACCGGCUAACUUCGUGCCAGCAGCCGCGGUAAUAC